ACGACCUUCAACAAACAGCCAGAAUGCCUUUGACAGAGUGAUACACAGAGUCUUACUUCACCUACCAGCAGAAAAGAUCAACGCUCUAGUGCGUGCAGACAGAACACAAUUGGCUUAUCCGACUUAAACUGUAUAUCCAUGCCCAUCAGGAAAUUAUAAUCAACAAAUACAGCCAUGGGAAAAGAGUACCCGCAAUGCAUGGAGGGCCAGAAGAAUGGAAGUAAACCUCCCCCUUAUAAAUAAGAAGAGUCAUUCAGAAAUAGAGUGUUG
rnacentral:lncRNA from 1 species